AUGAUGGUUGCGGGAGAGAACGCCGUACAGGCGACACCGAAGGAGCAAAUUCUUGUUGAAACUCUCAGGUAAAAAAACCGUAACCGGACC
rnacentral:ncRNA from 2 species